rnacentral:lncRNA from 10 species
UCCCUGUGCAAAUAAUUGGUUGGUGAAGUUAAUUCUUUCUCACAGAGUUUUCUUGUGUGUGUGCUUAUCUUUCCCAAACUCAGGCCAGCCCUUCUCUGUGGACCAGGGAGACCCCUCCAAACCUCUUAAUCAGUCAGCACAGCCCCCAUGGCUAAGUCCCCUCUCGGCAUCUGCCACUUGAUCUUGUCUCCUAAGCUCCCUCCUUGGGCAGAAGGAGGAAGGGGCUAAUAGGGAGAGAGUACAGAUGCUGGCUAGUCCUAAGUUGACACACCUGUUGAUGACAUGAAUGGCCCUCAAAACAUGCUAAUGCACUAGAGAAUCGUUUGGACCAACCUGGAAACUUCCUCAG